AGAAGGCAGCGCACCACAGAACACUGGCUCCUUUCUACAGAAAAAGGAAACCAAGCAACGUUCCUUCAGCAAGUAAUGCAAGAAUGGACUUUGAACUGGAUGCAGCAGCUGGAUAGAGCUUUGUGCUGUCUCCCUUGAGGCAAGAAUGAGUGUGUUUUAUGUAAAGGAAGAGUUGGCGUUUGGUGAACAAGAAGAGCCGACUAUGUAAGAGACUGCUUUGUGUCUGCCAAAAUCGUCCUUUUCUUUGAGGGCCCACAGGCAACAAGAAGCCAGUGAAGACUACGAAUGAAAAAUGAUUUGAUCAUAUUUUCCAUUUAUAAGUUCUGCGGCCAGUUCAUAGGACUCCAGGGACCUUGAGACUGAAGCACAUUCUACAAAUAAAGUCAAAUGCAGUUAACAAGAAGAUAGCUGCUGGCAACAAUAUUCCAAUUCAGAAGUGGACAUGAAGACAAACAGGAUUCUCUGAUGAAUGACCCCAGUGGGUAAUUAGCAAUUUAUUGAAAACAGAUAGCAGGUGCCCUAGACUCCCCAGUCAGCAAGGAGGCUAUGUCCAAACUCAGCUUCUCACAGAUCUCUAGUUAGUGGGCGGGUGUCUUUCCCAGAACUCCCCUUUAAACAGCGGGCACCUGAGCUCAGGCUUCCAGGCGCUUAAGCUCAAAUGCUUACUCACUCCAUUCCAGGCUGCUGUCAGGCUUACUCUAUAAAAAAGGGACAGCCACAGAAAAGUCUCUUCUGGAACCCAGAUCCUCAGUGUAACUAGAAGUGUUCCAGCCUAAGCAUUUCUUUUUUGCAGGAAGUCAAAAGAACAGAGACCCAUGCAGCCACUGGCUCUUCUGCCUGUUAAUUCCAAUCUGUCUCAAAUAAUGCUAUUCACCCAGAGUCUUUGCAUAACAAUGAGGAAAAGGAGACAGAAGGGCACAACACCGCCAUCAUCUAUUCACUGAGUAAGUAGAGUCACUGUGGAUGGCAUCUGCCUUAUUUACGAAGAAACCGAUACACAAAGACACCAGCCACAGACCUAGCCUUUUAUUUGCCACCCCUUUUAUGCCCACAACAUAGUAGUGCCUGCAGAAUUGUUAACUAAAGUGUUUCUCUAAUGAGGGAGUGAGUGAGCACUCUUAUAUGAUGACUUUCAAUAACCAAAAGGAAACAAAUUUAGUACAAGGGUGCUUUGGUUAAACGACAUAGGAAAUGGAUUCUGGUACUCGCCCACAAUAAAUUAUAAAUUGG